rnacentral:rRNA from 1 species
GUGGCGAACGGGUGAGUAACACGUGAGCAACCUGCCCCUGACUCUGGGAUAAGCGCUGGAAACGGCGUCUAAUACUGGAUACGAACCGGAAUCGCAUGGUUACUGGUUGGAAAGAAUUUCGGUUGGGGAUGGGCUCGCGGCCUAUCAGCUUGUUGGUGAGGUAAUGGCUCACCAAGGCGUCGACGGGUAGCCGGCCUGAGAGGGUGACCGGCCACACUGGGACUGAGACACGGCCCAGACUCCUACGGGAGGCAGCAGUGGGGAAUAUUGCACAAUGGGCGGAAGCCUGAUGCAGCAACGCCGCGUGAGGGAUGACGGCCUUCGGGUUGUAAACCUCUUUUAGCAGGGAAGAAGCGAAAGUGACGGUACCUGCAGAAAAAGCACCGGCUAACUACGUGCCAGCAGCCGCGGUAAUACGUAGGGUGCAAGCGUUAUCCGGAAUUAUUGGGCGUAAAGAGCUCGUAGGCGGUUUGUCGCGUCUGCUGUGAAAUCUGGGGGCUCAACCCCCAGCCUGCAGUGGGUACGGGCAGACUAGAGUGCGGUAGGGGAGAUUGGAAUUCCUGGUGUAGCGGUGGAAUGCGCAGAUAUCAGGAGGAACACCGAUGGCGAAGGCAGAUCUCUGGGCCGUAACUGACGCUGAGGAGCGAAAGGGUGGGGAGCAAACAGGCUUAGAUACCCUGGUAGUCCACCCCGUAAACGUUGGGAACUAGUUGUGGGGUCCAUUCCACGGAUUCCGUGACGCAGCUAACG